rnacentral:lncRNA from 1 species
AUGUUGCCCAGGGUUGCAUGCAUUUCUGUAGUUUAUCUAACUCCCAGCCUCCUGAGUAUUGUAUACUUUCUCUUCUCGCCUCAGACCUGCAGCACCUUCCUAUUCUCACUCUAUAGAUGACCUUGGCUCCUACCUUACUGUCUAGUUUUACAGAAAGCUGAAACAGUCUGAAGAGAACAUCCACAGGUGCACACGGCUGAAUCGACCCGAUACUUGUACCUGUGUCCAGCCUGCUGUCCUGUUAACUCAGGUUAUUCCCAGCAGCCUACAAAUAUGCAUCACUUCUUCUGUGGAAAACAACAGCAACACGAUUCUUCACUCUGGGAGACCAGCUGCAUGUCCAGAAGACACUUGAGAAGCCCUGUGAAGAAGUCCAUGUGGGGAGAAGCCGAGGCCUCUUGCUCACAGCCAGUGAGGAGUUGAGGCCACAAGAGUGAAAGUGGGUCCUCCCACCCAACUCUAGCCUUCAGAUGAUGCAGCCCCAGCUGCCAUCUUGACGGCAGCCUCACGAGAGCUGUGCAGUAGAACCACCCAGCUAAGGUGCCAGAACACCUGCCUUACAGGAACUGCAAUAGAAGACAUGCUUGCUAUUUUACACUGCUAAGUUUUAUGUUUCUAAAGCCUGCCAUGGUGUGUCUGCCUCAGGGCCUCUGCCCUGGACAGUCCCAGGUCACAAUGCUCCGCUCUGGCUCUUCAUGUGGUUGGCGUUCUCUUCUCCAUCAGGCUCAGUUCAGUUGUUGUCCUCCCAGAGAUGCAUUUCCCAGUCAUUGGCAUCUAAAAUAGACACCCUCCCCCCUGCAAUCACUGCAUCCUGUUACUCUGCCUGUGUUCUUCAUGGCGAUGAUCACAAUCCGUGACUGUACUCUUAGGUCAAUUUCUCGCUUCUAUUACUGUCUGGCUCCCUCACUAGAAUGUAAGCUUCAUAUGAGUGGGGCACCCGUUUAUCUAACCUAUCUGGCCAUUUCCAG